AUAAGGAUCACCUGGAGGGCUUAUUAAAACACAGACUGCUGGCCCCACCCUCAGGGUAUCAGAGACAGUAAGUCUGGGGUGGAACUAGAAAAUGUGCAGUUUUAAUAAGUUUCCCAGUGAUGCUAAG
rnacentral:pre_miRNA from 1 species